CAAUCUUUAAGACGACUUUAUAUGAUUGAGAAAAAAUUUCGUAUAGACCCACAAUUUGAAAUUAAAUAUAGAGCAAAAAUGAAGCAUCUUUUAGAAAAAGGGUAUGCACGACGACUUAGUCCCGAAGAAGAAAAAACAAUUUUACCCAAAACGUUCUUUUUACCACACUUUGCAGUUUUUAAUCCCGUUAAGGAUAGUCUACGUUUAGUUUUUGAUGCAGCGGCGAAGGUGGACGGUGUUUCUUUAAAUGAUUUUCUGCUACCAGGACCAGACCUGAACCAACCGCUAACUAGUGUUCUGUUUAAAUUUCGUGAACACCCUAUUGCAGUUUGUGGCGACAUAAAGGAAAUGUUCUUACAGGUGGCAAUUAAAAAAGAAGAUCAAGAAUCCCAACGUUUUUUAUACAGAGAGAGCACCAACCAACCUGUUAGGCAGUACGUCAUGACAAGAGCUAUUUUUGGGGCGAGUUGUUCACCAACAAUUGCACAAUAUGUGAAAAAUUUAAAUGCUGAAAAAUUUUUAGACUACAACCCUAGGGCCGUAGAAGCCAUAAUUAAAUGCCACUACGUAGACGACUAUGCAGAUUGCUUUUCCUCAGUUAAUGAAGCUCUAAAAGUGGUUAAAGACGUUAUAAAAAUACAUAACGCAGCAGGUUUUGAAAUGCAUAAAAUUAUAUCCAAUUCAAAAGAAAUAAACUCGUACUUUGGUAACCAUACCAUGGAUAAUAUUAAUAUGACAUCUGGUAACAUUGAAAAUAUUUUGGGAAUGCAGUGGUCAGCUGUUAAAGACAAAUUUGUUUUUGAUAUUAAAUUCAAACGAGUUUCAGCCGAUAUUAUUGAAAAUAAACGCACACCUACUAAAAGAGAAGUUCUACGACUAAUUAUGUCCGUUUUCCAUCCAUUUGGAUUUUUAAGUAAUUUUACUAUUACGGGAAAAAUAUUCAUGCAGUCGCUAUGGAGAUGUGGUUUGGAAUGGGACGAGGAAAUACCAGAGGCUUUACGUGAUCGUUGGAAAUCUUGGACCACAGGGUUGAAAAAGGUAAGGGACUUUAGUAUUCCGAGAUGUUAUUUUCAUAAUUUGUGUGACCAAAACAUAACUUUACAUUUAUUUUGUGACGCAAGUGAAAAAGCAAUGGCUGCGGUGGCGUAUUGGAGAUACUAUACUCCUGAUGGACCCAAAAUUUCAUUUGUAUCAGGUAAAACCAACUGUGCACCAACUAAGUCUAUUUCAAUCCCGAGGUUGGAGCUGCAAGCGGCUGUAAUGGCUAUUAGGUUAAAAAAUGCCAUCGUAGAACACCAUAAUAUUAAACCUGUCGAAUUUUAUUUUUGGACAGACUCAAGUACGGUCAUAAAAUGGCUAACGUCUGAACAUCGUCGCUACAAACAGUUUGUUGCUAAUAGAGUAGCCGAAAUCUUGGAAUCAUCAGAAGAAAAGCAGUGGCGUUGGGUGCCUGGUGAGAUGAAUCCAGCUGAUGAAGGCACUCGUCCGAGUUUACAGUAUGACCCUAAUAACCGAUGGAAAAAUGGACCUGAAUUUUUAUGCCGACCAUCUGAAUUGUGGCCGUCCAAUUGUAAGCCGUUAGAUGCUACUAAUGAUGAGGAAGAACUUCGUAGCGGCCAUUAUGUAUUUUCCACACGUGUCAUAAAUAUUAUAUUCGAUGUGAAACGUUUCUCACAAUACCAAAAGUUCGUAAGACACAUUGGAUGGAUUUUUCGUUAUGUAAACAAUUUAAAGUUAAAAUAUAAAAAACAAACUCUAAUGAGGGGUGACUUAACAGUCGAGGAACAAGAGCAAGCUGAACGUUAUAUAAUUCGGUCAAUACAAAAGACAGAAUUUGCCAACGAGUAUUCUUCUCUAUCAAGAAAUGAACCUAUAUCUCCAAGAAGCUCUAUAAUAACGCUCAAUCCUUAUAUCGACGAAUUUGACAUUCUUCGAUGUGGUGGAAGAAUAGACAACGCUCCAUUUAUAUCAUAUAUUACGAAAAGGCCGUAUAUUCUUCCAAAAGACAAUCGAGUAACAUACCUUUUAGUCCAGUGGUAUCACGAACGUCAGAAACACAUCAACGAUUCUAUAGUGAUAUGUGAAAUACGGUUAAAAUAUUGGAUACCGUCUAUACGUGUUAUUUUAAAUAAAGUGAAGUCUGCUUGCUGUGCCUGUAAAAUACGUAAAUGCAAACCGUACCAACCAAUUAUGGGUCCCCUCCCUAAAGAUCGUUUAAGUGCCUUUGUUCGUCCAUUUUCUUACACGGGAUUGGAUUACUUUGGUCCAGUGUUAGUUGCUGUCCGCCGUAGUCAAGAAAAGCGGUGGGUUGCGUUAUUCACGUGUUUAACAACCCGUGCCAUCCACUUAGAGUUGGCAAUGAACCUGUCGAGUGAUUCGUGCCUACUUUGUAUCAGGAAUUUUAUAAAUCGACGGGGAGUACCAGUUUUAAUUAGAAGUGACAAUGGCACUAAUUUCGUGGGUAUCACGAAGGAGCUAGGUUUUGAAGAAAAUUUCAUCGAUCCUGAAAAAAUAGAUGCUGAUUUAAAACCCCUUGGCAUUAAAUGGAAGUUCAACACCCCCUCUGACCCUAGUGCUGGUGGUUGUUGGGAAAGACUUGUGCAGUCUGUAAAAAAGGCCCUAUAUGCCACUUUAAAAGAACAAACAGUACGUCCAGAAACGUUAUACAGCCUAUUAGUUGAAUGUGAAAACAUAUUGAACUCCAGACCACUCACUCAUUUGCCAGUCACACCAGAUGAACCAGAACCGUUGACUCCGAAUCACUUUUUAUUGGGAUGUUCCAAUUCAACGCAGACUCCGGGACCCUUUAAUUCAAAAUGUUGCACCUUAAGGAAACAGUGGAGAAUUUUGCAAAAUUUAAAAAAUUGUUUGUGGAAACGUUGGGUGUUGGAGUAUCUCCCCGAAUUAACACGUAGAACAAAGUGGUGUCGACCUACAAAGCCCUUGGCGACUGGAUCUUUAGUCCUUAUUUGUGAAACCGAUCAAGCUAGGUCAAAAUGGAGAAGAGGACGUAUUCACAAAUUAUUUGUCGGUAAAGACGGAGUAGCAAGACUUGCCGAAGUAAAUACUGGCAACGGCCUGUUGCGUCGUCCCGUUUCAAAACUGGCCGUAUUAGAUGUGGAGAAUGUUGGUGAAUUGGACAUUAUGGGGUCCAUUCACGGGGGCGGGGAUGUUGAUGAUGCAGAUAAAACGGUCCCCCAGUGAAUUUCAUUUUGUCCAUAAUAAAUCCCUUCUUUGAUUUUUGCCGUAUUUACCAACACUAUUAAAUUAUCUGUCAAAAAGUAACGUUCGCCAUGUUCAAUUAAAAUAAAAAGGAGCCAUUAUAGUUUUGUCGUCAACAAGUGUAGUCGUCCAACAACAAAGAAUAAAUUCUCCUUCUCCUUCUGCUUAUCUUUUCAACCUUUAUAAUGUUAGUGGAAAUAAAUUUUCAUUACUAACUUUAAGACGACCUGAGUUUUUAUUUUUUCAAGAGACGA